GCGGGUGUCGUACAGUGGCAGUACACCAGCUUCCCAAGCUGGAUGCGAGGGUUCGAUUCCCUUCACCCGCU
rnacentral:tRNA from 1 species